GCAGUAGCCGCGGGAAUACGUAGGGUGCGAGCGUUGUCCGGAAUUACUGGGCGUAAAGAGCUCGUAGGCGGUUUGUCGCGUCGUCUGUGAAAUUCUGCAGCUUAACUGUAGGCGUGCAGGCGAUACGGGCAGACUUGAGUACUACAGGGGAGACUGGAAUUCCUGGUGUAGCGGUGAAAUGCGCAGAUAUCAGGAGGAACACCGGUGGCGAAGGCGGGUCUCUGGGUAGUAACUGACGCUCAUGCACGAAAGCGUGGGGAGCAAACAGGAUUAGAUACCCGUGUAGUCCCUGUCUCUUAUAC
rnacentral:rRNA from 1 species